rnacentral:misc_RNA from 1 species
GAUGAAGAACGUAGCGAAAUGCGAUACUUGGUGUGAAUUGCAGAAUCCCGUGAACCAUCGAGUCUUUGAACGCAAGUUGCGCCCGAAGCCAUUAGACCGAGGGCACGCCUGCCUGGGCGUCACACGUCGUUGCCCCCCCAUCUACUCCUUCGGGAUUGCGGGGGGCGGAUGAUGGCCUCUCGUGCGCCUCGUCGCGCGGUUGGCCUAAAUGCCAAGUCCUCGGCGACGCACGCCACGACAAUCGGUGGUUGCGAAACCUCGGUUGCCUGUCGUGUGCGGUCGUCGCGCAUCGAGGGCUCGAAAAAAUUGCCGGGCUUCGGCUCGACUUUCAACGCGACCCCAGGUCAGGCGGGGUUACCCGCUGAAUUUAAGCAUAUCAAUAAGCGGAGGA